GUUUUGCAAGAAUGAUGAUUCAAUUAGAUGUGUGAAGGGAUUCAAUUUCUGAUGAACACAAAUUAUUUGAGGCAUAAUUAGUCUGACUUGCCAAGU
rfam:Spinacia oleracea cultivar SynViroflay scaffold1510.con0002.1, whole genome shotgun sequence.